GACGAGGUGGCCAAUUGGUUAAGGUGAUGGACUGCUUGUCCAUUGUGUUCUGCACACGUCGGUUCGAAUCCUAUCCUUAUCG
rnacentral:tRNA from 1 species